rnacentral:sRNA from 1 species
GCCAGGUGUGGUGGUGCACACCUGUAAUCCUAGCAUCUCUAGAGGCUUGAGGCAGGAGGACUGUGAGUUCAAAGAUAGCCUCAGCAAAAGCAGUCCCUAACUCACU